rnacentral:rRNA from 1 species
UAUGCUCAGUAACACGUGGACAACCUGCCCUAGGACGGGGAUAAACCCGGGAAACUGGGUAUAAUACCCGAUAGGUCUCGAUUGCUGGAAUGCAUCGAGAUUUAAAGCUCCGGCGCCUAAGGAUGGGUCUGCGGCCUAUCAGGUAGUAGUGGGUGUAGCGUACCUACUAGCCUACGACGGGUACGGGUUGUGAGAGCAAGAGCCCGGAGAUGGAUUCUGAGACACGAAUCCAGGCCCUACGGGGUGCAGCAGGCGCGAAAACUUUACAAUGCUGGCAACAGCGAUAAGGGAACCUCGAGUGCCAGGUUACAAAUCUGGCUGUCGAGAUGCCUAAAAAGCAUUUCAUAGCAAGGGCCGGGCAAGACCGGUGCCAGCCGCCGCGGUAACACCGGCGGCUCGAGUGGUAACCGUUAUUAUUGGGUCUAAAGGGUCUGUAGCCGGCCGGAUAAGUCUCUUGAGAAAUCUGGCAGCUUAACUGUCAGGCUUUCAGGAGAUACUGUCUGGCUCGAGGCCGGGAGAGGUGAGAGGUACUUCAGGGGUAGGGGUGAAAUCUUGUAAUCCUUGAAGGACCACCAGUGGCGAAGGCGUCUCACCAGAACGGACCUGACGGCAAGGGACGAAAGCUAGGGGCACGAACCGGAUUAGAUACCCGGGUAGUCCUAGCCGUAAACGAUACUCGCUAGGUGUCGGCCACGGUGCGACCGUUGUCGGUGCCGUAGGGAAGCCGUGAAGCGAGCCACCUGGGAAGUACGGCCGCAAGGCUGAAACUUAAAGGAAUUGGCGGGGGAGCAC